ensembl:lncRNA
GGCAGCUUGGGGACCUCAUGGGAUGUCACUCUUUUUAUGGGGAAGUAGGAAUAGGCAUGAUAGUUGAAAGGAUCCAGGUAUGAACAGGUGAAACAGGGCCAAAUCUUCAGAGGAAGGAUGUCUGUGAGUGCUGGGAGCAUGAAUGGAGCCCCUCAAACAUAGUGCAUGGCUUCAGUGAUGUUAUUCUGAGAGUUCAGCAUCUGCCAGGUGUUUCCUUGGCAUUUAAAAGCUUUAUCUCUUUAUUCUCCUCCCUUAAAGUUCCCACUGCUCUCAUUUAGGCAAUGGAGGAGAAAGUGAGAACCACAAAGACCCUGUGCUGAUUUCAGCCUUGACACUCUCUGGCAGCUCCACCUUCAGAGCCAUUUUGUGAUUCCACGCAAUGGAAUCAUUUGGAUUCCUUUGGAUUUCAGUCAACUCACCUUUGGAUUUCAGUCAACUCCAUUGCCAAGGAAAACUUGAUCCAAGUGACUGCACUCCACCAAGCUUCAGAGACCAAGGAGAACUUUUCCUUUUUGUACAAUCAGCCUCCCUUAUCUCCACACCAUACCAAAUGAAAAUUUGCAUGUGUACCUGGUUUGUUCCGACGAUCCAUGUGCCUUGAUGCAGGUCUAAUAAAACUCAAAACUAGAACCUGUAAACACCAUUUAAGAAAAUACAGCUAUGGAAAAAGAAGAUUGAUGGAGGUGGCAAAGCACAAAGAGAAGAGGGAGCAGAAGAUGCAGCCAAGUGCCAGGGCAGGCAGACAGUGGAGGCAACACUGUGGUAAUAAAACCUCUGUGCUAAGACAAGUCCUUGGGACUGCUGAGCCCUCCAGCUAUGCGUAAGUGGGGAUCUGAGGGUGCAGGUUUAGCCUCCAUGUCCCAAAAACAAGAAGCCUCCAGUCCCAGAGCUACCAGACCUUCGAUCCCAGAGGGUGGUUAAACACCCAGACCCUGCUGGCUGCCCCAAAGCUGAGGCAUUCCUUUAGGGACCACUGAUGGUGUCUCAAAUCCUAGGCAUGUGAGGCUGGGUGGGGAACAGCCAGGCCUUCCCCUGUGCAGGAUUCCUGCAGGGCUGGACAGCUGUGACAUUCGUACAAGAGAUUCUCAGCUGCUGGGGACCCACAGCCAGCUCCCAGUUACAGCAGCUGGGCCUGGACUGGAAUUGCCACAGGUGCUCAGCACACACUCCCUGACUGCCCUUUGAGAACUAAAGAUAAGCCCUCAAAGCUUUAAAUAACCUCUCCUUGAUAGCCAGGGAGUUUCUGCUACAAAAAUCUUUCAAGCAACGUGUUGCUCUUUGCCCACAGCUCCCUGCCCGUCCAUACCCACCUUCAGGAACAGAAGAAAAACUAACUGCUACAAACUCUUCCAGAUACUCCAUCCCAGCAGUUCAGAUGGUGUCCAGCUCCUCUGUUUGCACCAGCUCAAGACCUGAUGGACUGAAGAUCCUAUGGACCUGCUCCAUGCAGCUACAUGACAAGAAAUGUCUGGAAAAUGCAACUAAGGGACACCUGAAGUACCAGGGUGGCAGUGGCAGUGACACUGGUGGGAAUCUGUGACUUGGAUGAGGUUUGGGAAGAACAGGGAGAUUCCCAGUUCUCAGGUAAGGCUUCAUAAACACAAUGAUACAAACAUAUUGAAAACACACACACAAACAUUAAAAAAAAAAGUUUCCUCAAGGACCUAAUUUGCAGCAAAAUCCAGGAGAAAAAAAGAAACCAAGGAAAAACCAACUGAACAGAAUGGAAGUCCCCAAGGAUUCUGGCUCAGCCACUGGAUGGGGUGAUGUUCUCUGCCAUUCCUAGUGCUGGGUCCUGUUUCUCUCUCCUGGCAGCAUCUAGUG